GUCACUCCGCUGCACAUGACUGAAAGAACUUCCGGCAGUCAGGCUUGAAGGGACCCUCUCUUACUGGGAAUCAGCAGAACCAGCUAUACACAACCGUAAUACAGGUGGGUAGUACUCCAAGCGAGUGCCAAGUUUUCUUGUCUUUUAUAUCUUUUUUACCAAUGGGAUGGAUAGUCUGUACUUUUCCACCAAGUUUCCUUAUCAGUGCAGCCCAGUAAAGACCUUGCAAAAGUGUUGGAUGGGACCGGCAGCUGGCCUGGCUGUUCAGGACCACCAACAAUGCCAUGCAAGGUCUGUGCGGUUAAUUAUCUCUUAUCUAAAAGCUAGUUAUGUACUAAUAAUUAUUUUGUGAUGGUCAUUCUGAUGUUGUGUUUUGUGGUUUUAAUAAAAAUUUUAGCGCUGUGUGUUAAUAGCUGUGGCAUCCAGGCC